CUCUUUUCGUCUGAAACACCUCUAUCAUGUAACAAAAACAACACCUCCACCAUGAAACAAGAACAACAGCUACGACAAAUAUGAUACCUAACAACAGAUUAAAACCCAGCAACCAUUGCAAUUGCUUUCCAUUCCUUAUCCUACGGAACACCUGAGGCCAUUUCAUCUUCGUUUUGUCUGUCGUGCUCUCUCAUCCUUUAACACACCCCAACUGUGAACAGAGCUACAGUACAAUAACGGCUACGAAACAGAUUACGAUUUCAUUACUUCUAUCUCGAAAUUGUGUCUUUAGGUUCGUCAAGUCCAAAUCAUAUUCAUUCAAAUUUAUGAAUUUUGUCACCGAUUUUCUACUCUUAUUUGAUCUAUCUUUGAAUUUUAGUUUGUUUCCCAAUUUCAGUUGCCAUUUUUUUCGAUUCUUCAGGAUUUCGGCAAAGAACCCACUAAAAUUGUGAAUUUUUUUCUUAAAAUUUGUGAAGUUCAGUAGUUUGUUGAUUUUCCUGAGAGAAAACAUGUUCACUUAUUCUCAUAUAUUUGGUUGCUUUGGAUUGGCGAUUCUUUGUAUGUAUGUCGUAAGAGCGUAAUUGAGAAUAGUGAAGAUUGUGAUUCUAUUCAACCUAUUGUAUUUCUUAGUCCUCCAUACUUUUCAAAUUAUUCCAUAACUUUUUGUUUGUCUAGCCAACAUGAAAAUAUUCUAAGGUUAUGGUUUAGUCAUAGUAGGGAUUGUUUGAGACACGGUAUCUUCCGAGCCCAAAAUUGCCCGAACGCCACUUCCAUUUGGUUCCAACCAGAGCUCUUAAGCUACUGGUGAUUUUUAUUUAAAAGAGGUAAAGUUGAGAAAUCAAGUGAAUACUCCCUCCAUUUCAGAAUUAUUAGAGGUUGGUAUGUCUCUCUAUACCUCAAUCACUGACACUUGCUUGAUGGCUUGUACUUGAAAUGGUUUUGUAAAUGUUAGAAACUUUAGUAAUACAGCUCAAGAAAAGUACCGAGGAUCGGAAAGCUUAGGCAAGCAACAUACACCGGCACAUGCAUUGUAUUCUCUCACACAGGUAGUUGCAUGAUUGCAGGUACGAUGUUGCUAUGAAUAUAAACACUUGAGGACCUUUUUGACUUAUGACUUUGUGAAAAGGUGCAAGAAACUUCAACUGUUCUUGCAAGGAUCAACUGUCUUCAUUUCAUCGACAACCUAUGUUAACGGACAAAGACAAGGUACAAUCUUGGAAAAACCAUUUUCUAUCGGGGAUAGCCUAGCAAGGGAACAACUCACAUCUAAUACCCAUGCAAGAGCUCCACCCUUGAUAGAUAUUGAAGCUGAAAUGAAGUUGGAUUUGCAUUCAAAAGAGACAUUCCAAGAAAAUUUGAAUUGGGUUUUGAAAGUUGGUUUGUCAUUUUAACAGGGCGAGGACCUAAGGUUGGCAAGACACAUAUGUGCUCACUAAGGCCAUGGGAGAAAUGAUAAUCAACAGUAUGAGAGGGGAUAUACCUAUAGCCAUAAUACGUCCGAGUGUCAUUGAAAGUACUUACAUGGAACCUUUUCCAGGAUGGAUGGAAGGAAACAUGUGACUAGCUGCUGCUUCAAUUAUGCCUUACUAAUUGCAGCUCAUCAUGUUAUUUGGAGGAUGUGUUCCAUUUUUUUGGUCUCUAAAUAUAAGUGAAUUUCAGGAUGAUGGAUCCAAUAGUUUUAUACUAUGGUAAAGGCUUUUAGCUGACCCAAAAGGAGUUCUUGAUGUGGUGCGUCGAAGAGGUAUAGAAAUUAGCUGCUGGCAUCCAUUUGCUGAAACAGGGUCUAAUGCUUUAGCAAUUGUUGUGGUGAGAUAUUAUUAAGGUGAUUCUCGAGGUUGGCAGGCCUAUAAAUUCUCCACAAUUAUCAUUUUUGAAUCAUAAGAAUUGGCACACAGAGCACAAGUUAUAAAAGUUCUCUUUUUAUGUUUUUUGAUUGAAGCUAUACCUCUUUGUGGCGAUGGCCGGUAAGGAAGUCUUCGUUCCCCUGUUGUAGCCUUAGAAUCACAUAUGGAAACAGAAUGGCAGGCGCAUCGCGCGUGCGUGCUAUACUAAUCUCAAUUAAGAAAACCAAAAGGAAAAGAGCAUCUCAUAUAUUUCAUGAAGAGGCAUAUAAUCUGGAAUCUGGAAGAGGGGGAUCAAUUUAAAAUUCAACAGAACCUUACAAGUAUUCACAUAACUUCCACGGUGAUUCGCUAUUCUGUGGUAAUUUCCAACAGAAUAAAAUUCUACAAAAUAUCAAGUAGGUACAAUAUAAUUUAAAUCCAUAAUUUCCUUUACAUUAAUGUGCUGUUUUCAUUUUAUAGCAGAAGCCCAGUACUAUAUCACGUGACUUGAGAAUUUGUCAUUAAGGUUAGUUGCAUCCUGAAAUUAAAACAGCAUACUGGAGUAUUAAAAAUCUGCCGUCAAUGGUUCCUAAACUUACAGUAACAAAUUCAAUGUCUAUGUACAGCUAGCCUUGAUAAGCUCAUAUGAAACCAAAAAAUACAAGCAGUCUAAAUCCAAGUCUUGGCCACACUGUCUUGUAUCACUAGAAUCCUAUGCUAGUGGAUGAGCUUCCUGAAUAUAGGGCCCUUCUACGUAUAUGCAGGUCCAAAAUUCAAUGAGAAAAUGUAGUAGAAGUUACUAUGACCAACGAUCAAUACUUUUACCUGAGAAUGUAUGAUGUAGUCUUGAAGAACAAACUUGUCAUCUAGCAGCCUUUCGUUGUGGAACGAAAGACAUAUGACUGAUGGAUUACUGAUGGUUUCGAACUAACGUAUUACUGAUGAAUCAACUAAUCAAUUCCUCAUAUGAGAACUAAUCUGCUUUGGAAAGAUUUUAUAUGCCAAUCCUAAUUAAAGUAAGCUAUUAGUCAUUAAAGGGGAUUCUGGAUUCAUUAAACAGUUAUUGAUAAAUGGGUUUUGUAAGAUAAAUACUCUAUAAACAGUUAUGUGUUUAAUUUUUGAUUAAAAUUUUUGGAUUCAAAAGUCCCAGAUAAAAUCCCAGUGCAUAUAUUUCUCUAGAACUUUAAUUGCGUUUUAAAGUAACAGUCAAACAAUAAGUAAAACAUGAUCUCUUUAUUUAUU